rnacentral:rRNA from 1 species
CGCUGGCGGCGUGCCUAAUACAUGCAAGUCGAACGGUCUUUCUAUGGAAGCUUGCUCCACUGAGGAGAUAGUGGCGAACGGGUGAGUAGCACGUGGGUAACCUGCCCAUAAGAGGGGGAUAACAUCCGGAGACGGGUGCUAAUACCGCAUAGUUUUCUUGAUCGCAUGAUUGAGAAAGGAAAGACGGCCUUUGUGCUGUCGCUUAUGGAUGGACCCGCGGCGUAUUAGUUAGUUGGUGAGGUAACGGCUCACCAAGACGAUGAUACGUAGCCGACCUGAGAGGGUGAUCGGCCACAUUGGGACUGAGACACGGCCCAAACUCCUACGGGAGGCAGCAGUAGGGAAUCUUCCGCAAUGGACGAAAGUCUGACGGAGCAACGCCGCGUGAGUGAAGAAGGUUUUCGGAAUCGUAAAACUCUGUUGUCAGAGAAGAACAAGUUGGAGAGUAACUGCUCCAGCCUUGACGGUAUCUGACCAGAAAGCCACGGCUAACUACGUGCCAGCAGCUGC